rnacentral:rRNA from 1 species
UACGUAGGGGGCAAGCGUUGUCCGGAUUCAUUGGGCGUAAAGCGCGUGUAGGCGGCCAGGUAGGUCCGGUGUGAAAACUUGAGGCUCAACCUCAAGAGGUCAUCGGAAACCAUCUGGCUAGAGUCCGGAAGAGGAGAGUGGAAUUCCCGGUGUAGCGGUGAAAUGUGUUGAUAUCGGAAGGAACGCCGGUGGCGAAAGCGGCACACUGGGUCUCAACUGACGCUGAGGCACGAAAGCCAGGGUAGCGAACGGG